rnacentral:rRNA from 1 species
GGGGGUAAAUUAAUAAAGUGUUAAUUAUUGUUAAUAAAAAAAUUUUUAAUUUAUAUAAAUAUUAAUUAUUUUAAUGGGGGUUAAAGUAAUUGAUAGAAAAAAUUAAAAAAUUUAUAGUUAAAUAGUAUUGUGGGGGAAUUUUGAAAUAUUAUUUAAAGUUAAUUUGUUGGAAAGUAAUUUUUAAUUAGUGUAUCUUGUGUAUCAGAGUUUAUUAAAAAAAUAUUUUAUUAAAAAUAUUCUCGAAUUUAAAAGAGAAAAUUAAUUAUUAAAGUUAUUAUUGUAUAAAUAUUUUGAAUAAUUAAUUUGAAAUUAGAUGUUAAUCGUUUUUAAAUAUAUCUAGUUUUUUUAGAAAAAAAUUUAAUUUUAAAUUUAUAUUUAAUUAAUUAAAUAUUUUUUUUUAUUUAAUUAAAAAAAUUAAAUUUAAUAUUUUAAGGGAUAAGCUUUAAAUUAUAAUAAUAUAAUUUAAAUUAUAAAUAUUUGAAAUUAAUAUAAUUUAUAUUAUUGAUAAAUUUUAAUUUGUUGUAAAUAAUUUUAAUAAAGAUAAAUAUAAAAAAAUUUAAUUAAAGAUUUAUAAAAUUUAUAAAAAAAUAAAUUUUAAUAAAAUUAAUUUAGAUAUAAUGAUAAAAUUAGUAUAUAAAUUAUAAAGUUAUAAAUUAAAUUAAUUUAUGUGAAUUAUUUUUUAGGAAUUCGGCAAAAAUUUAUAUUCACUUGUUUAUCAAAAACAUGUCUUUUUGAAAUAAUUUAAAGUCUAAUCUGCCCACUGAUGAAUUAUUAAAGGGCUGCAGUAAUUUGACUGUACAAAGGUAGCAUAAUCAUUAGUCAUUUAAUUGAUGACUUGUAUGAAAGAUUGGAUGAAAUAUAAACUGUCUUAAGAAUAUUUUAUAGAAAUUAAUUUUUUAAUUAAAAAGUUAAAAUAAGUAAAAAAGACGAGAAGACCCUAUAGAGUUUUAUUAUUUAAGUAAUUUUAGUUAUUUAUGAAUUUUAAAAUUAAAAUUUAUUAAAUAAUUUUAUUGGGGUGAUAAAAAAAUUUAAUGAACUUUUUUUAAUUUAUUUACAUAAUAAAUGAAUUAUUGAUCUAUUAUUAAUGAUUAAAAGAAAAAAUUACCUUAGGGAUAACAGCGUAAUUUUUUUUUUUAGUUCACAUAAAAAAAAGAGUUUGCGACCUCGAUGUUGGAUUAAGAUAAAAUUUAAAUGUAGAAGUUUAAAGUUUUUGAUCUGUUCGAUCAUUAAAAUCUUACAUGAUCUGAGUUCAAACCGGUGUAAGCCAGGUUGGUUUCUAUCUUUUUAAAUAUAGAAUAUUUUAGUACGAAAGGAUUAAAUAUUUAAAUUAAAUUUAUAUGAUAUGAAUUUAAUUAAUUAUAUAUAUAUAUAUAUAUAAGUUAAAUGUUAAAUUUAAAAUUAUUUAUAAUAUAUAUAUAUAUAUAUAUAUAUAUAUAUAUAUAUAUAUAUAUUUAUAUAAUUGAUUAUGAUAUAUAGAGUAGUAGUUUAUUAA